AAGGAUGAAGGUCCUACGGAUUGUAAACUUCUUUUAUUAGGGAAGAAACGUCUCGAUUCAUCGGGAUUUGACGGUACCUAAGGAAUAAGCACCGGCUAACUCCGUGCCAGCAGCCGCGGUAAUACGGAGGGUGCAAGCGUUAUCCGGAUUCACUGGGUUUAAAGGGUGCGUAGGUGGAUUGAUAAGUCAGUGGUGAAAGCCCCGAGCUCAACUUGGGAAUUGCCAUUGAUACUGUUAGUCUUGAGUUCGGUUGAGGUAGGCGGAAUAAGUCAUGUAGCGGUGAAAUGCUUAGAUAUGACUUAGAACACCGAUUGCGAAGGCAGCUUACCAAGCCGACACUGACACUGAGGCACGAAAGCGUGGGGAUCAAACAGGAUUAGAUACCCUGGUAGUCCACGCCCUAAACGAUGAUCAUUCGACAUUAGCGAUAAACAGUUAGUGUCCAAGCGAAAGCGUUAAAUGAU
rnacentral:rRNA from 1 species